rnacentral:lncRNA from 1 species
CAAAUCUAUUUGCUUUCAUAACUAUUAAUGCUUAGGUCUCACUUCCAUGCCCUCAACUAUAAUCCCACCUUUUAGUUGAUACCCUUUCACCUCCUUCAAGCUCAUUUUCACCUCAUCAUCAUCACACACACCAUUAAAGAAUUUUCCAAGCUCGAUUUCCACCCACCCAUCUUCUUUUUCACAUGGGAUUUGUUCAUUUUCGCCGCCUUUAUGUGUCAACUUUGAUGUCACCAUCAUUUCCAUGCCAUCCACUAGCACUGAUGAAUCACUUUUUUGCUUGCUGCCCAAAUAAGCCUUGCCUUUGGACGCCUGACGACCACCAAUUUCAAUUGAAAUUUCAGCGGCUUCUGAAUCAAGCCCUUAUGCUCUAUCACUUAUUUUCAUUAUAAGAUAAGCUCCAUACAUUGUGUUUUGUGACAGCAUUUUGGUCUUGAUCUUGCCUUCAAUUUCCAGCCAAUUUGAUGUUCUCAGCACCGCAACUUCUGAAAAUCUACAAUAAUAAAAAAAUAAUUAAUUAUCAUAUAAAAUGUGCGUUUACUUAGCAAGUUUAUAUAUCGUUUUUUUUUUAGAAAAAAAAAAAAAAAAAAGAGACCAACCUUGAUUCCUGCAUGGACACCCAGCUCCAAUAAAUUGGAUUGCUACUCCAUGUUAUACUAAGAGCUCUUGCAGACAAAAUAUAAGAAUUUUUGCCUGAUGAUUUCUCUAACUUGAAGCUCUACACAUGUUGACAAAGAAACAUAAUUGAACAUUUUAUAACUGAUUUUCUUCAAAGCAGGCGUCUGUAUUUUAUAAACUUAGCAAGCUUAAUUAGCACUAAGACUGCAUGCAAACGUUCGUACCAGAGAAGGGAAUGAUUGGAGCAAAAAGUAAUAAAGUACGUACGAUCUUGCCGUCAUCAAUGAGAAAAGGGUGGCAAAGGAGAGCGAAGAGCUCCUUCUUGGAGGAAAAUGCGAGGGGAGAGACUGAUUUGGAGACGAUCUCGAGCCAAUCAGAGGGCAAGAACUUGUCCCAGAUAAUGUCGGAGUCCAUGGCCGAUCGAAACGAAGAAGAAACAAGCGAUGAUCUGCAUGCAUCUAACGGACAAGUGAGGGAGAAAACAGUCGCAACACACUCUUCUGGCAGCACGUUGAAGUAGCAAUUGGUAUCGAAAUUGGCUUCCAUUGUUUUUCAGAAAUACGUAUAGCUUUAAUUCUUUGUUCAUCAGAGUCCCUGAAACCUACUGAUAUCUUUACGCUUGGUUUUGAUUUUUGUCUUUGUUUUAAGGUUGCUUUCAGGGCGGGCAUAAUGUUGUAUAAUUGUCCAAAGAGAGAUACGUAAUUCAUCAAAUAAAUGCGUUGAAAUAAUUGCGAUAAAGAAGUGUACACGUUAGCUGGUAGGGAAUGCAGUAGAAUAUAUUAAUAUAAUUAAUUAAUUACUAAAGACAGAAUUAAAUGCGCAUUAUAAUAUUUAUCUAAUCCACUUAUAAUAUAUAUUUUAAAAUUUAAAAUUUUUAAUGUUAAUUUAUAAAGCUUAACAAUCAUGCUUAUUUUGCAUUCUCAUUAACUUUUGAUAGAUUUAUAUGCGUCCGGAUGCCCAGAUUUUUUUUAAAAUUUAGAUUUGUUAAGCUGAAUGGCUUAAUAGAGUCAUUUUUCAAUGUAAUAUAAAGUCGUACUAUUUAAUAGCACUAAAUCUGAUUCUAUUAAAUCGCACGAUUUAACAGCGUGUCUACAUAGAAAAAAAAAAACAAGAGAGUGCUAGCACCAAAGAAUGAUUGUAUAUAUUUCAAUAUUUGUGCAUCUCUCUCUCUCUCUCUCUCUCUCUCUCUCUCUCUCUCUCUCUCUCUCUCUCUCUCUCUCUAUAUAUAUAUAUAUAUAUAUAUAUAUAUAUAUAUAUAUAUAAAUCAUUCUCAAGUGCGAGCAGUCUCAUUGUUUUUUAAUUCAGACACUCUAUUAAGCUAUUUGAUUGAAUAGAGUUAAUUUUUAAUAAAUUAUAAGAUGUACAAUUUAAUAGCAUUAAAAAUUUAACUCUAUUGAACCGCAAAGCUUAAUAGUGCGUUCGCAUGAGGAAAAAAAUGAGGGUCUCCCCCCAAACACAAACAAUUCUUCUUUAGUGUAAGCUCCCUCAUUUUUUUCACACGGACAUAUUGUUAAACUAGACAGUUUAAUAAAGUCAAUAAAUAACACUAUUAAAAUAACACUAUUGAACCGCACAAUUUUAUAGUGCAUAAGAAUUUAAUGUUUAUUGAUUGAGAUUUUUCAUUCCUAUCCAAACUUUAAUAAAUACAUUUAAAAAAAAAAAGGAUCAACAUUUCAUGCAUGUUAUACAUAUGAUUGAAUUGGAGUUUAAUGAUAAUAAUAUGAUCGUUCAAUGUAUUUUUGACAACAAUGUGGAAACUGCUUUCACUAGAAGGAGUUGAAGUAUUUUUAUCAUUUAUUUUAUAUUGGUACCAACCAAUAACGACAGGAGUUGAGAAUAAACAAUCAUAUAUAAUAAAUAGGCUUAUAAGAACACAUUCACUGGGAAAGUGCUUUCUAGCUGCUGCAAAAUGUGAUUUUAAUACGGCACAAGACUGCCAAGUGCUUACAGCGAACCACUGUUCACAAAGACGCCCAAACUCGUUUGACGAUGCUCAUACAAUCCAUGGCCUCUGCCUCUCUUUCCGUAUCUCUCGGAUUACGCCACGAAGCAGCCAGUUAUGCCUUAAAGCAGGAUUUGCUUUAGCUUCUUCCGUGGCUCCAAUUAUUGUCCGCUAUUGCUGGACUUAAUUAUAUAACUGGCCCAUUAAGGAAGAAUUACUUUUAAAUUGACAAAAACCCCAUUUCGAUGCUCUGUAGAAACACAAGCAAUCACAGUUCCCUAGCUAAAACAGUGUAAUAGAAGAUAAUUGUGAACCAUUUAUUAUAAAAUUUAAUCAGAAUUAACGGGUUCGUUAAAUUUAGUUUUUGAACUAAAACAUCCAUCUUUCUUCUAAUGACAUAUUAAAAUGUAUGCUUCUGCUGUUUCAAUUUUCUUCACAUGUAACACAAAAUUAUUUGUUAACCGACCAAUAACUGACCCAAAAUUCAAAUUAUACAAGAGUUUGCUACUUUCAAAGGAGAAAAAAAAAAAAGCAACUUAGUUCAGAAGUUGGCAAUGUGGAAUGGAUGACCUAAUUAAUGAUAAAGCACUAACUUGUUCCUCGUCGAGGCUCCGUGCAUUGAGAAAUUCUAAAAUACCUUUAAUGUAUUAUAACUAAUUGAUGCAUGCAUUACAUGUGUAAUUGAAUUUAAUAUAACUACCACUUGUAUGAUAAUUUUUUAAAAUAAAUACAUACAUGUCAUAGUAUUAUUUAGUUGUCACAUGGCUGACAUAAUACCUCUGAUAUAUUCUAAAUUUUCUCUCGUGCAUUAGGAAAUGGCAUGAUGAACCGUUCCAUUCACCAUGCACUUAAGAUAAUAUUAGAAAUUAAUAACAAUUUGCACAACUUUCAUUUGUGAAACGGAUUCACACUCUAAUUAUUCUAAUUGACGACGAUUAGAUAAUUUGGCCAGUUUUGGUGUCUACCAAUACAGUGGUUCGACUUAACAACACUGAUCAUUGACCCGUCAAAUUUAAAUCUUAUAAUGUUUAAAAUCAACAAUAUUAAGUCGGUUUUAUAGAAUUGGAAUGUAAAAUUUAUAUUCGGAUCGAACAUUCUAGUAAUAAUUAUAUGUUAAGUAGUUGUUAACUAUUUAUGUCAUCAAUAAUGUGAUAAUUAUGUUGUAGUAAUUGAUAAGAAGCGAGUCAAGUGCUAUCAUACAAGGAGAACGUAUUUUAUAUAUAAUUUAAUUGGUCGUAAAAUUGAAUUAUAAUGUACAUGUCCUUAAGGUGUUUAUUUGACAAUGUACCCCUAAUUGACAUACAUGAGUUAGGAUCAAGGAGAAAUAAACGAAAAGAGUAUGAUGACUAAAAUCUAAAGUAACCGGGUAUAUUGUGAAUGGUACUUUUCACUUGCCAAUAAUUCGGCUUUGAGUAUAAUAUAUAUUUACUGGAUGAGAGAUAACUAUGGCCCAAAUCAUUCACACAUAUUGAUGUUGGAUAGAGAAAUUGAAUUGGGUAUUGAUCGAUCGAUUUCCAUAACUGAUAACUAAUGGUUGGUUAAAUAGUUUUGAUCAAUGAUCGAUUGUAUGAUUAUGAAUUACGAGAGAAGACCUUGUUACCUUACGUGAUGAGGUAACCACAACUCUUUUAUGAUUGUUCAGUACAUCUCCAACCGUUUGAUUAAAUCUAUUGGUUUCAAUUCUAUAACGUUUAUGACCUUAUCAUAUAAAGUAACAAAGUCCUUUAUAUAUUUAUCGUGCAAUUUAUUUAAUUAGUCAAAUUGUCUAAUUCAUUUCUAUCAAAAAAAUUAGGUUUGCACAACGACAAUCUUCUACAUAUUUUCCAUAAAAGUAGUAUUCUUACUUAUUUCGAUGAUCCUCGAUACAAAAGAAAGAAUUCUGGAAUUACUAAAUGGAGGACCAUGGGAGUGCAUUCAAAAAAUAAAAAGUACUCUUUUUAUAUUUUUAUCGUGUAAUUUAUUUAAUUGGCCAAUUUAUCUAAUCCAUCUUUAUCAAAAAAUUAGGUUCGUACAACGACAAUUUUUUAUGUAUUUUUCAUAAAAAUAAUAUUCUUACUUAUUUUGAUGAUUCUCGAUACAGAAGAAAGAGUUCUAAAAUUAUUAAAUAGAGGACCAUGGGAGCACAUUCAAUCGCUAAAAAAGAGAACUUGAUUGAGACUAAACAAUUUUUAAAAAUGGAUCUAUGUUCAAAAAGUAAUUUAGGAACAUAAUAGAUCCGAAAUAGACAUUAAUUUGAUGUGAUCCAGUCCAUUCAUCUUCACAAAUACAACAGCAAUAAAUCAUAUUUAGUUAUAGAUUUUAAGCUGGGUGUAUAGCUCGCAGUGAAUAAAUAUGCAUUACAGUUUUAACUUUUACGUAUUCAAUCACUUAAGAGUUCAAAUAAUUAUAGAGAUAAAGAGUCCAUAUUUUAUUUUAGUGGGUAAAAUUUAUUGUUCCCAUCCGAACUUUGACAAUUAAAACAAAAAUAUAUAUAUAUUCAUGAUGUUUUAUAAAUUUAUACUACGAAAAUCUAUAUCAGUAAAUUUAUUUGUUUGGUGUAACAAUUAAGUUGUACCAAAAUAAAGAUGGAAUUCUCACAUUUAACAUGAAAAAAUUCAUUAACAUUACAAGAUCAACUCGUCGAAAUAAUGUGUUCAAUUUUGGUGUCUUCGAACAAAUUAUAAGACAAUUUUUUUUUACCUGCUAGCACAAGUUAGAUUCAAACAUAUUAUGGUUAAGGUACAUACAGAUUUUUUUUUUUUUUUAAACUGAUUAAGCAUCAGGUUACUGUAUUACACAGAGAUACUUAUAAAUAACAACAUAUCAUUGCACUGAUAUUUACAAUCAGAUAUAUACCUGGGAUUUACAUUAUUACAUUUUUAUUCUAUGAAGUACAUGCCCAGCCAAAUACCCCUCAAGGAAGAGGGAUGUCUUGACUCCAAAUGACAACAUAUCAUUGCACUGAUAUUUACAAUCAGAUAUAUACCUGGGAUUUACAUUAUUACAUUUUUAUUCUAUGAAGUACAUGCCCAGCCAAAUACCCCUCAAGGAAGAGGGAUGUCUUGACUCCACUCGCAUUUCGCAAGGGAGAAAGACGUUAUAAACAAUCUCCACACAAUUAUAACUAAUUGAGGAAGUUUGAGUUCGUGGAGACUCGAACCAUUGCCCUCAUAGUCAUGCUUGACUUUAAGGGCAAUGGUUCACCACCGGGCCACAAGCCCAAGUGGCAGGUACAUACAGAUUCAAUUAAAUGUUAAAGUCGGCAAACAAUUACUGGGCUCCACUGAGAAUAUAAUUAAUUAAUCGACUAAAGCAAUUGGGUAGUUAACAUAGAAUUUGACAAAUUAACAAAAACAUCCCUUGAAGUUUGGAAAAACUAAAGGCUCAGUAAAAGAAAAAAUUAUGGUACCUUACGCUUAUAUAAAAAAGGGAAAUUAUCUACCGUCCACCCGUUUUUUAACUUUUUUAAAAAAACAUAAUUCUUUUUUUUUUUGCUGGAAUCCACCUGAAGUUAUAUUUUUUUUUUUCACUUUUCCACUUCCGGUUUGGAAUCCAUUAAGGAAAUUAACGGAAUAUGGCUUAAAGGACUUUUUUACCCUCAAAUGUAAAAGAUAAUUUAUCCAUCGACCACCUAUUUUUUUCGUAUUUUUCAGAAAUACACAAUUUUUUAAUUUUUUUUUGUUGACCUCCACUCGAAGUUGUAUUGUUUUACACCUAUCCACCACUGUGUCGUUGUGAAAUGACGAUUUUACCCUUAUGAUGUUAGCAAAGUUAUAACGGUCUCCAAACGGAAGUGGAAAAGUGAAAAGAAAUGUAAUUUCAGGUGGAUUCCAGCAAAAAAAAAAAUUGUGUAUUUUUAAAAAAACAAUGAAAAAAGGGGUGAAUGGUGGAUAAUUUCCCUAUGAAAAAUAUUAUUUGCAUGAGUUGUUUGGGGAAAAGGCGAUUUUUGUGAUGUGAGUUUUUGGGAAAAAGGAGAUUUUUGUGAUGUGAGCUGUGUUUUGUUUGAAAUUGGGUUGAUGAGAAAGAAUAGUUUAUGAUAAGUUAAAAGCUCAUUUAAUCCGUAUAUUUUUUAAUUAAUUAGUCUCUAUAUUUUUUAAAAUACCUCUAAACAUCUACAUCGUUAAAUUAUUUACACUAUUGUUAUUAUUUUUUGUUCUUUUUUUACUUACUUUUUCAAGAUUAUUUUCUUACAAUAAUAUUUCUUUUUCUGGAAACAAUAAGGAGAGAAAAUUAAUGUAAAAAAAUAAAAUUAAUGUAAAAUACCUCUAAACAUAUUUUUAUUUGUAUUUUUAUUUUUGGGGUUAAAUUGAUAAUUUAAUUUUUGUUAUUAAUGUAAAAAAAGAAAUAUUAUUGUAAGAGAGUAAUAUUUUAAAAAUAAGUAAAAAAAACAAAAAAAAUAACAGCAAAGGUAUUAAUAAUUUCACAAUAAAAAUAAUUUAAGAUAUUUUUAAAAAUACAUAAAGUAAACAGACACCAAUCUCGUAAUAUAGAAGUUAAAUAAACUUGUAUUCUUUACUAUACCCGAACGGUAAAAGUACUGGGCACCAUUUUCAAAAUCAGAGGACUCGGCGUGAAAAUAUGUUUUCGUAACUUGGUUUCCCAUCGGGCAGGGGGUGGCUAAUUAAAACCCCAAAGGUUAGUUUUGGGCUGGACUUGCAAUCUGUUCCCAAUUGUAUUUACAUGAGUGAAGCUUUUGACACCCCUAUAAAAUCCUUAUAACACCCCUUUAGAUUUUUAUUUCUUAAAAUAUCCCUCUUCAAGUUACAAAGUACUAAUCAUAUAUUAAAAACAACCAUCUUUUCGUAAAUUUUUUCUCAAAGAAAAAGCAUUUCUUUUAAGUUUUUAUUUUAAAAUAUAUAAAAAUCUUAAAUUAUUUUUUUUCUUAUUGUAUAGUGUCUACCUCCAUAAUCCCAAACUUUUAUAUAUUUUUCAAAAAAAAUUGUAAUUAAAAUUUAAUAUAUAAAUAUAAAUACAAAUAUAAAUUAUAAAAUAGGGUGGGUGUAAAAAAAAAUUUUAAAAGAAAAUUGCAUUCAAGUGUUUAAUUGAAUUUCUAUUUAAAAUAAGAAAUGAAUUAAUUUAACUUUGGUUAUUUUAAUGGUUUCAAUUGAAAAGGGGUUCUAUGAAUUUUGAGGGGCGGCGGAAGGCAUACCCUCUUUAACAUCUAGUUAAUGAUAGAAUGUUUGACAUCGGCCCAAAUCAUGCAUUUAUAUUAUAAAUUUUAAAAUUAGAAGAAGAAAAUGAAUAUUGGGUACUGAUUUUCAUAAAAGAAGUAUUAGACAUCUCAAUAUUUUAUAAACAAAUAAUAUGCUUUUCAUCAACUAAAUGAUGGGAUAAUGUAAUUAAUUUAAUUAAAUUUUAUAUUAAAAAAAAUAAACCACUUAAUAUGUAGUCUAUUGUAAAUCUUUCAAUUAAUUAGUUUGUUAUUGUGAGAGAGAUUUUUGGCAAAAUGGCUUUACUAUUUUAUUAUUCAAUUGAUGAUCCUAAUUGACUUUACGAGCUGGCCAACUUGUCGAAUCCAUCGCCAUCGCAACAGGAUUUGGUCUUGACACAAAGUGGUGACAUUUAUAUGACAUAUAUAGGUUAUCAAUUAAGUCUUCUAUCACGUAAAGUAAGUACCAAAAUAACUUUAGUCACGGAACAAUAUCUUGUUGGGAUGAGUUUUUUAUUCUAUGACAUUUAUAUAUGUUAUGACUACAUCAUAAUCUCAGCUUUUAUUUAAACAAAUACAUGACAUUGAUCGUUGAUAAUUUAUAAUCAAGAGAACUUUAGUCCAGCUAUUACAAUAAUCAUAAUUACUAAAAAAAAAUCAACAUUUAAUAAUAAACAUUUGACAUUGUAAGGGAUAUUUAAUUUAACAAUCGUUCACUGGGUUGUCAUUCCAUGCUCAUUAGGGUAUAUAAUUGAUUCCUUUUGUCUCAUACUCAAUGAGCUGGCCAAAUUGCCUAAUCCGUCUCUAUCACCUGGAACAAUUUUUGGUUUUAACAAGCAGUGUUGACAUAAUGUUGGCAUUUAUACGAUCUAUGGUUUCGUCCGAGUCUUUUUCUCUCUAAAUUGUAAUUACCAAAAAUAACCCAACACAUAGAUUUGCAAUUCUGAUUCACGGAACCAUAUUUGUGGGAAGAGUUUUUCGUUACAUUAAACAUCACAAUUAUUAAGUAAUUAUAACAAUUAAUCAACUUAUUGUAGAAACAAAUCUAUUUGCUUUCAUAACUAUUAAUGCUUAGGUCUCACUUCCAUGCCCUCAACUAUAAUCCCACCUUUUAGUUGAUACCCUUUCACCUCCUUCAAGCUCAUUUUCACCUCAUCAUCAUCACACACACCAUUAAAGAAUUUUCCAAGCUCAAUUUCCACCCACCCGUCUUCUUUUUCACAUGGGAUUUGUUCAUUUUCGCCGCCUUUAUCUAUCAACUUUGAUGUCACCAUCAUUUCCAUGCCAUCCACUAGCACU